rnacentral:tRNA from 1 species
GGGGCUGUAGCUCAGUGGUAGAGCACUUGCCUAGCAUGUGUGAGGCCCUGGGUUCAAUUCCCAGCACCA